UACGUAGGGUGCGAGCGUUGUCCGGAAUUAUUGGGCGUAAAGGGCUCGUAGGCGGUCUGUCGCGUCGGGAGUGAAAACUCAGGGCUUAACCCUGAGCCUGCUUCCGAUACGGGCAGACUAGAGGUAUGCAGGGGAGAACGGAAUUCCUGGUGUAGCGGUGGAAUGCGCAGAUAUCAGGAGGAACACCGGUGGCGAAGGCGGUUCUCUGGGCAUUACCUGACGCUGAGGAGCGAAAGUGUGGGGAGCGAACAGG
rnacentral:rRNA from 1 species